GCUUAGUGGUGGGGUGACUGCGUACCUUUUGUAUAAUGGGUCAGCGACUUAUAUUCUGUAGCAAGGUUAACCGUAUAGGGGAGCCGGAGGGAAACCGAGUCUUAAUUGGGCGUUAAGUUGCAGGGUAUAGACCCGAAACCCGGUGAUCUAGCCAUGGGCAGGUUGAAGGUUGGGUAACACUAACUGGAGGACCGAACCGACUAAUGUUGAAAAAUUAGCGGAUGACCUGUGGCUGGGGGUGAAAGGCCAAUCAAACCGGGAGAUAGCUGGUUCUCCCCGAAAGCUAUUUAGGUAGCGCCUCGUGAAUUCAUCUCCGGGGGUAGAGCACUGUUUCGGCUAGGGGGCCAUCCCGGCUUACCAACCCGAUGCAAACUGCGAAUACCGGAGAAUGUUAUCACGGGAGACACACGGCGGGUGCUAACGUCCGUCGUGAAGAGGGAAACAACCCAGACCGCCAGCUAAGGUCCCAAAGUCAUGGUUAAGUGGGAAACGAUGUGGGAAGGCCCAGACAGCCAGGAUGUUGGCUUAGAAGCAGCCAUCAUUUAAAGAAAGCGUAAUAGCUCACUGGUCGAGUCGGCCUGCGCGGAAGAUGUAACGGGGCUAAACCAUGCACCGAAGCUGCGGCAGCGACACUCAGGUGUCGUUGGGUAGGGGAGCGUUCUGUAAGCCUGCGAAGGUGGCCUGUGAGGGUUGCUGGAGGUAUCAGAAGUGCGAAUGCUGACAUAAGUAACGAUAAAGCGGGUGAAAAGCCCGCUCGCCGGAAGACCAAGGGUUCCUGUCCAACGUUAAUCGGGGCAGGGUGAGUCGACCCCUAAGGCGAGGCCGAAAGGCGUAGUCGAUGGGAAACGGGUUAAUAUUCCCGUACUUGGUGUUACUGCGAAGGGGGGACGGAGAAGGCUAUGUUGGCCGGGCGACGGUUGUCCCGGUUUAAGCGUGUAGGUGUGUGUUCCAGGUAAAUCCGGUUCACUUUAACACUGAGGCGUGAUGACGAGGCACUACGGUGCUGAAGCAACAAAUGCCCUGCUUCCAGGAAAAGCCUCUAAGCAUCAGGUAACAUCAAAUCGUACCCCAAACCGACACAGGUGGUCAGGUAGAGAAUACCAAGGCGCUUGAGAGAACUCGGGUGAAGGAACUAGGCAAAAUGGUGCCGUAACU
rnacentral:rRNA from 1 species